GGGGUGGAGCCAGCCCGGGCCUCUGCUGACAGCCGUACCUGUGACUCUGAUCACUAGUCUUCGCGGGCAAGACCAGCUUUCCGGGGCCCCAGGCUAGGAAGCCCGAGUUUCUGGAACCAUAGAAGGGGAUUCUCCAAGAUAAUGAGGACAGGUAACCAAAUGUAUAUUGGAGAUGACUGACAGUGACUUGAUGGCUGGACACUGCAGCUCUGGUUGUGAGGCCCCUCCCCUUUUCUGUUUCCCAGGCCACCUGCCCUUGCUGGUCUAGUGACUGAUUACAUAGGACUCAGCUUUCUCUGACUUUCUGCUAAGUGACCUUAGAACCUAGAAAAGCCGUGCUUCUCACACAGGGCCGUGUUAAAGUGCAGAUUCUGCUGCACAAGUAGGAUCGGAUGCUCUGCGUUUCUAAGACAUUCUCAGAUAACCCCGGUGCCACAGUUCCACAAUUAGAGCAACAAAGAUUAUUUAUCUUACGUGCUUAAUGAAAGAAGUAAAUUGUUCUGAAAAAUAUACCUAGGUGAAACUGGGCACAGCCUCUGUCUCCCUGCUAUCCAUCCAAGUAACCCGUACAUAGUAGUAGGACUACUACCACCCUAACUAACCCUAACCCUGCCUCUCCUGUCUCUGCUCUGUCCCUGGUUCAGGUUAAAAUGUCUUAAGAUGGGUAAUAGGGUAGAUUCUAUUACAAGAAGAAUUGGAGGAGGGGGAGGAAGAGAAGAGGGAAGAGGAUUAUGGGGUGUGUGUGUAUGUGUGUGUACAUGUUUGUGUGGUGUGUUUACAUGUUUGUGUAGGUACAGCUGUAUGUACACACGCCAGAAAAGCUCGAGGCUAGAGGUUAGCCUUAGGAGUUGUUCCUGGGGAGCUGUCCAUGUUUUUGAGACAAGGUCUCUAAAUAGAACCUGGUGCUUUGCCUUUCUCUUAUCUCUUCAGCUGUGAAAUUAGGAGCACCCACCACCAAGCCUGGCUUUUUAAUGUAUGUUCAGGAGAUCCAACUUAGAUCUGCAUGCUUAGAAAGUUAUCAUCUCACUAGCUGAGCCUUCUCUUUCCAGCCCCAGAAGGGUGGACUUUUAUUUCUGUCCUUUUGCCAAGAGCAUCUUAUAAGUUAUGUGUUGGUAAUGUUACUUCUAGUUCUUCGUGGUCAAGAAAGGAAAGGCUUAGAUUCUUGUAUUCUGCACACAAAACAUCUAGAAAUCAUGUUCUCUAUAUUUCAACUUUUUCUUUCUUACAUGCUUUAAUUUCAUAUUUUACUGGGGUAGGAGGAACUAGUUUAUCUCUACUAAACAUGAGUCUCUUUUUUGGAGUGAUAAAAUGGCCUGGGGUUAGAUGAUAGCAGUGAUUGUACAAGGUUGCCAACGCACCAAGAAACACUGAAUUAAACAUUUUGACAGAAUCCUAGUGAGCAAACCUAAUCCUUUGCAGACCAUGUGAGAAUAGCUAUCACAGGAUAUUUGAACACACUGUGAACCUCUGAGAUUGUGUUACUUGCUGAAAAGG
rnacentral:lncRNA from 1 species